AGAAUAAUUCAUAUCAUACACAUUGAUCAUGACAUUAGAUGGCUAAUGAACUGGAAGUCUCGCCCAUCGGCUUACUUCUGCAUUGAAGAAUAAGGUGGAUAGUCUCAUGUGGUUUUGGAUGAUCUUGGUGAAAGACGAGUGGACUAACACUGCUAGAAAUAGCACGUAGAGGAUUGCUGCGAACUCUUACCGUUAUUCACCGUAAUUAAUCUACUGAUCUGUGGCUAAUUGAGAAAAUCCGAGUUGCAGCUUUUUCUGUAAAAACAGUGUCAACCACAGCAGAAAGGAAACUGUGCAAUACCAGACUCCACAGAGAGUUAAGGAAAGUUCUGCCUUCCCAAAAAAACAACAACACCAGACCUGUCGAAAUAAUUGCCAAUUGGGCUAAGCUAAGCUUGCGAAACUGAGACAACCAAUGACGUAAGAAAUGUGGAAAAAAUAUGUUUGUGCCACUAAAUCUUGGGACAAGGAAUCCAAAAUCUUUCCAAGGUGUAAACGCAGUCGGGGUGAGCAUGUCGCAGCAUGCUCGACAUGCAAAGAACAUGGGAAGCAGGAAACGGCGACUCAAUCAGAAAGUAUGGCAUUGAAUUCAGACCACACUGCUGUUGAUGUGACUCAAAGGAAGAACAUGUUCCUCACAAUAUCUACCCUAUGAUGACCAAACCCCAAGGAAUUGGCCCUCUCGUGCCCCUUACAGCAAGUCCUGUCAUGACUAAGCAUCUUUUCCAGUAACACUUCACCACAGGGACACGCUGAAUCCAGGACAGUUUGGAAAUAGAUGUAAAAAAAUAGAGCGUGAACUGCAUGGAAUUCAUUCAGCCAGCUGUUACGUGAUGGUGAAUUCUCAAAGGGUGGCAAAUUAUGCUCAAAAUAUACACAUGCAUGCAGAGACAUAUUCCGUAUGAUGAACUAGCGACUUAAAUAAAGCGAGACGCCAACACAUUCUUUGGUGACACUAAGAAAAAAGCAAUUUGCUGCAGAAACAAGCCUUGUUGAGGUCAAUACAGGGCCUUUGGGAUGUUUGUUGGCCCCACGGCUCCAAAUACGACCGUAUUUAUGGACAGAAAUAGACUUUGAUAGGUGUGGUUGCAUUUGUCCUUUGACACCUGUUGACGUAGCUGGUCUUUCACAAGCAACAGGACAUGUUGCAAAUGACGAUAUGCAAGCUUGUUGAGUAGCCUGUCUAAACAAUAAACACGUACUUGUGACACACAUUAGCUCUGUUACAAAAUCAAGCUGCAUGCCUAGACAGACAUUUAAGGCAGCAGUCUUUUAAGAUAACCUCUUUUGGUCAAAGAUUCAGGCAGCGUCACGUGUCUUUGAGGAACAGUCAAUCUCAGUUUGCACUGUGGCACGCUUAUUGAAAUAAAAGUAAAACAUGGGAGACAAAGAAAAAGAAUUGGUAAUUAUUAGUACAGAAUGCAACACAACAAAGUUAGAUCAAAUUUUAAAUUACUUUUUUACAUUUAUAUUUAAAUUACAAAUUUGUGUAAGUGUAGUACUCCCAAAUUUAUUUAUGAUUAUUUUAUCAUUUUUAUUGUAAUUUUACUGUACUCGUUUGCAGCCAAAAUGUAUUAAUUGAAUUUAAUUUAGUAAG